UUACCAAAAAUGACGUAGUUGGGACAACGUAUCUACACCUCUCUAAGAUUGCUGCCUCUGGUGGGGAAGUGGAAGAUUUUUCAUCUUCGGGAACUGGGGCUGCAUCAUAUACAGCAAAUACAGGAGAAACAGAGGUGGGCUUUCUUCCAACAUUUGGACCUUGUUAUUUGAACCUUUAUGGAAGCCCCAGAGAGUAUACAGGAUUCCCAGACCCCUAUGAUGAGUUGAAUACUGGAAAGGGGGAAGGAGUUGCCUACAGAGGCAGGAUCUUGGUUGAAUUAAGCACUUUUCUUGAAAAGACACCACCAGAUAAAAAGCUUGAGCCCAUUUCAAAUGAUGAUCUGCUGGUU